GUCCAGGUGACCAGGGGCUCCUUUUAUACCCAGGGUAAUAAAUUCGGGAAACUAUUGGCCCGAGCCCUAAAAACUAAACAUCAGAGGUCAUUUAUCGCCAAAAUUACCGACAAAACAGGGAAACAAUGCAAUACCACAGACGACAUAGCUACAGCAUAUAGUACCUUUUAUGAAGACCUCUACAAUCUAGACCCACCAAGUAAGCGACCUAACAACCUGAGGGAAUAUAUUACCUCAAACCUUCCACAUACUAUCCCCAACGACACAGCGCUCACACUCGAUGAGCCAUUCUCCCCAGCAGAACUAUCACUAGCUAUUAGGACUCUACCAAAAGGUAAGAGCCCAGUCCCGGACGGAAUGACUGCAAGAUACUACCAAACACUUGCACAGGAGUUAAUCCCUCACUUUCUUAAGUCACUAAACUGCCUGGCCCAGGACAACCCACUACCACCCCCGAUGUUGCGUGCAUCGAUCACUAUUAUUCCCAAGCCGGGCAAAGACCCCACAAAGUAUGGGAGCUACAGACCCAUCUCAUUGAUAAACUUGGAUCUAAAACUAAUGGCGAAAAUGAUCGCUAACCGACUUAAACCCUUAUUACCGGGACUAAUCCACCCUGAUCAGGCCGGCUUUGUGCCUGGACGCGAAGCCAGGGACAAUACCACAAAAAUCCUAAACAUCAUACAUGGGGCAACUGUAACGGACACACCGACACUGCUCAUGGCAAUAGACGCUGAAAAGGCAUUCGACAGGGUGGAUUGGUCCUAUCUCUUCACGGUCCUGGAGGUCCUGGGGACUGGUCCGAGACUAAGGAAUUGGAUACAAAACUUACACAGGGGACCGUCCGCCAAUGUCAGGGUCAACGGCCACUUAUCCACACCCUUUCAGAUAAAUAAUGGUACACGCCAAGGAUGCCCCAUUUCCCCCCUCCUAUUUGUCCUAGCUAUGGAACCCUUCCUUACGGCUAUCAGGAAUAACAACAACAUACGGGGGCUCCGGUACCGUGGGGGAGAGACGAAGGUAUCCGCAUUUGCGGACGACGUCCUCUUCACGAUCACUGAUCCAAUCAACACCCUCCCACAGAUCCAAACGGAGAUUGGAACUAGUGAUGUCGCAAACCGUUCGCGGCAAGUUCGCGGACGGUUCGCGACAUCACUAAUUGGAACCUUUGGGACAUGAUCUAAUUUUAAGAUAAAUGCGGACAAAUGCGAAAUCCUGGGGAUUUCUGUAUCCCCUUCCCUACAAACACGGAUACAAUGCACGCACACCUUCCCUUGGACUCGAACCGGACUAACCUACCUGGGAGUUAAGCUAACCACAUCGCCCAAGGGCCUAUACAAACUUAACUAUCCCCCCUUAUAAGCAGCAUUAAACAGGACCUCCACAAGUGGGAUCUUCCCCACUUCUCCCUAAUGGGUCGGAUCAACAUCUUGAAAAUGAUGGUCCUACCGAGAAUACUUAACCUGUUCCAGGCACUGCCAAUUCCCCUCCCUAGGGACUUUUUCAGACAAAUGCGAACCUUAUUUAUAACAUACACCUGGGGCAACAAACCGGCCAGAAUAGCCUACUCCACACUGACAUCCAACAUAGGCAGAGGAGACCUGGGUCUCCCCCACAUAUACAAAUAUUAUGUAGCAGUAUUAUUUACCCGCAUAAAGGAAUGGACAAACACAAGCGAGAAAAAAAUCAUGGUAUUAAUUGGAACAGAGCUUUGUACGGGCUCCUCUCCAUACAUUACCAUGGCAAACUUGUCAACUCAAGGAACUCUCCCCAAUGCAUCACCCACUCACACACAAUGUCCUCACAACAUGGAGACGAUACAAAGACAAAUGGGGACUAUCCCCGGGACUAUCUAAGUUUUUCCCCUUAGCAGGCAACCUAGACUUCCAGAGAGGACAGGGGAGCUCUACCCUAGUAAGGCUUACAGGAUCGCCGAACCCAGACAUCACUGAGGUUCUGACAGCCGGGGACCCACCCACAUUAAAAGCUCUCCCUAGACAGAACAGACAGGAUACACUCCUCGAUAUUAUGGGCAGAACACAACUUAAGAACUUUUUAAAUAGGUCGGUCAUCCCCUUUUGGCGUCCAAGAGAUACUACUCCCUUUGAAAACCUAUGUGGCCCAAAGAGCGACUCAAAACGACCCCUAUCAAAAAUAUAUCGCAUUAUUCAGACAACUGAAGUCGAGCAUACACCACCUACAUUCCAACAGAAAUGGAUGAGAGACUUCCAUAUACAUAUGACGGACAGGGACUGGACAGACAGACAUGGAAACAGGGAUUAGAACCCCUAUCAGUGUAGCCCGUAAAGAGACCUUUUACAAAAGAGUCACUAGAUGGUACAGAACGCCAGCUAUACUCCACACAUUCUGGCCCACCGUCAGCGACACAUGCUGGAGAUGCGCUGGGGGUCAGGGAGACAUGGAACACAUCUGGUAUAAUAAAAAGCAUAAAAGCAUACUGGCAGUACAUACUGGAUGACAUAGCGGAAAUUCUCGCACUGCAAACCCGUCUGACCCCAUCCCAGGUACUACUGGGCUGGCCUCGCUCCUUUAAGGAGCCACACAAACAGCAACUCCUACAGAUUCUGCUCGGGGAAGCCAAUGCUCUCGUGCCAACGCACUGGCGCCGACUCAGUGUGCUAUCCAGGGAGCAGUGGGUACGGCGGGUAGAAUGUGAGAGAGAAAUGGAAGAAAUACACUGGUCAGUACUAGGGAGACGGCACAAAUACCUUAAAACAUGGGAGCCCUGGAUUGAGUUUUGGAGGAGCCCCCCAGGGAUGGCCUCACCCACACCCCCCUAGCCAAAGGGCGAUCACCCCUACUUAGACCGGGACUGUCAAAAUAGGACCAUUGGAGUACCGACAAG